rnacentral:rRNA from 1 species
UACUUGGUGGCGACCGGCGCGACGGGUGAGUAACGCGUAUGCAACCUACCUAGUCAGAGGGGAAGUAACCCGGCGAAAGUCGGACUAAUACCGCAUAAAACAGGGGCACCGCAUGGUGAUAUUUGUUAAAGAAAUUCGCUGAUAGAUGGGCAUGCGUUCCAUUAGGUAGUUGGUGAGGUAACGGCUCACCAAGCCGACGAUGGAUAGGGAACUGAGAGGUUGGUCCCCCACCACUGGUACUGAGACACGGACCAGACUCCUACGGGAGGCAGCAGUGAGGAAUAUUGGUCAAUGGGCGGGAGCCUGAACCAGCCAAGUCGCGUGAAGGAAGAAGGAUCUAUGGUUCGUAAACUUCUUUUGCAGGGGAAUAAAGUGCAGGACGUGUCCUGUUUUGUAUGUACCCUGAGAAUAAGGAUCGGCUAACUCCGUGCCAGCCGCCGC